UUAUUUAUUUUAUUAUAUUUUUUAUUUGUAAAUUUAAUUUUUUAAUAGAAAUAAUUUUAUUGUUUAUAUUGUCUUAGUAUAUUUUGUAGAAUUGAUUUUUUUUAUUAUAGUUAACUAGUAAUGUAAUUGGAUUAUGAAAUAAUUAUUAAUUUUAUUUAAGUAAAUUUUAUUUAUUGUACCUUUUGUAUCAGGGUUCAUCAAAAUUUUAGUGUUUAUAUGCUUUUCUCGAUUUAGGUUGAUUUAAAAAAAGUUCAUAGUUAAUGUUUCAUAAUUAUUGUUGAACUUUUUUUAGAAAUGAAAUAUUAAUCGUUUCCUAAUAUAUCUAGUUUCUCAAGAAAAAAUUUAAUUUUUUAAGGUUAAUUGUUUUUAUUUGAUUUUUUAAUUUAAAAUAUUAAUCUAUUUAUUUUUUAGGGGAUAAGCUCUAAAGUAUUAUCUAUAAUUUAUUUAAUUUUAUAUAAUAGUAGGCUUUAAACCAGCUUUCUUUUAGAUUACGUUUUAGUUCAUUAUUUUAAAAUUUGAUUUUAUAAUUAUUUUAGGUUGUUUAUUGGGAUUUUUAAUUUAAUUUUUAAAUUAUUGUAAUAAUGAUGGAAUUAGUAUAUUUAUUUGUUUAAAUUUUUUUUUAUGUUAAUUUAUUAUAAGGAAUUAGGCAAAAUUGAUUUCCGCCUGUUUAUCAAAAACAUGUCCUUUUGAUAAUAUUAUGAGGUCUGGCCUGCUCACUGACGAGGUUUAUUAAAGAGCCGCGGUAAUUUGACCGUGCAAAGGUAGCAUAAUCAUUAGUCUCUUAAUUAGGGGCUGGAAUGAAUGGCUUGACGAGAAAUCAACUGUCUCUUGAUAAAUUUUUGAAUUUAACUUUUGAGUCAAAAGGCUUAAAUUUUUCUUUAGGACGAGAAGACCCUAUAGAGCUUGACAUUUUAUUUAUAUAUAAUUUUUAGUUAAUCUUUUUAUAUUUAUUGAUGAUGUUUUGUUGGGGUGACAUGAAAAAUAAUUAAACUCUUCAUUAUUAAAUCAUUGAUUUAUGUAUAUAUGAUGAUCCAUAAUUUAUGAUCAUAAGAUUAAGUUACCUUAGGGAUAACAGCGUAAUUAUUUUCGAGAGCUCAUAUCGACAAAUUAGAUUUCGACCUCGAUGUUGGAUUAAGAAAAAUUUUGGGUGCAGGAGCCCAGUGAUUAGGUCUGUUCGACCUUUAAAUUCUUACAUGAUCUGAGUUCAGACCGGCGUGAGCCAGGUCGGUUUCUAUCCUAAGUUUAAUUAACCAAAUUAGUACGAAAGGACCAUUUGGUUAAAAUAUUUUUUGUUUAAUUGAUUAAAAUUAAUAGUUUA
rnacentral:rRNA from 1 species